UGGGAAUUUGGACAAUGGGCGAAAGCCUGAUCCAGCAAUGCCGCGUGUGUGAAGAAGGCCUUCGGGUUGUAAAGCACUUUUGUCCGGAAAGAAAUCCUUGGCUCUAAUACAGUCGGGGGAUGACGGUACCGGAAGAAUAAGCACCGGCUAACUACGUGCCAGCAGCCGCGGUAAUACGUAGGGUGCAAGCGUUAAUCGGAAUUACUGGGCGUAAAGCGUGCGCAGGCGGUUUGCUAAGACCGAUGUGAAAUCCCCGGGCUCAACCUGGGAACUGCAUUGGUGACUGGCAGGCUAGAGUAUGGCAGAGGGGGGUAGAAUUCCACGUGUAGCAGUGAAAUGCGUAGAGAUGUGGAGGAAUACCGAUGGCGAAGGCAGCCCCCUGGGCCAAUACUGACGCUCAUGCACGAAAGCGUGGGGAGCAAAACAGGAUUAGAUACCCUGGUAGUCCACGCCCUAAANGAUGUCAACUAGUUGUUGGGGAUUCAUUUCCUUAGUAACGUAGCUAACGCGUGAAGUUGACCGCCUGGGGAGUACGGUCGCAAGAUUAAAACUCAAAUGAAUUGACGGGGUCAUAGCUG
rnacentral:rRNA from 1 species